rnacentral:rRNA from 1 species
AUUGGACGCUGGCGGCAUGCCUUACACAUGCAAGUCGAACGGCAGCGGGGGAGAAGCUUGCUUUUCCUGCCGGCGAGUGGCGAACGGGUGAGUAAUACAUCGGAACGUGCCCUGUAGUGGGGGAUAACUAGUCGAAAGAUUAGCUAAUACCGCAUACGACCUGAGGGUGAAAGUGGGGGACCGCACGGCCUUAUGCUAUAGGAGCGGCCGAUGUCUGAUUAGCUAGUUGGUGGGGUAAAGGCCUACAAAGGCGACAAUCAGUAGCUGGUCUGGGAGGACGAUCAGCCACACUGGGACUGAGACACGGCCCAGACUCCUACGGGAGGCAGCAGUGGGGAAUUUUGGACAAUGUGCGAAAGCCUGAUCCAGCAAUGCCGCGUGUGUGAAGAAGGCCUUCGGGUUGUAAAGCACUUUUGUCCGGAAAGAAAUGGCUCUGGUUAAUACCUGGGGUCGAUGACGGUACCGUAAGAAUAAGGACCGGCUAACUACGUGCCAGCCGCCGCAGUAA